UACGGGGGGGGCAAGCGUUGUUCGGAAUUACUGGGCGUAAAGGGCUCGUAGGCGGCCAACUAAGUCAGACGUGAAAUCCCCAGGCUCAACCUGGGAACUGCGUCUGAUACUGGAUGGCUUGAAUCCGGGAGAGGGAUGCAGAAUUCCAGGUGUAGCGGUGAAAUGCGUAGAUAUUGGGAGGAACACCAGUGGCGAAGGCGGCUCACUGGACCGGAACUGACGCUGAGGCGCGAAAGCGUGGGGAGCAAACGGG
rnacentral:rRNA from 1 species